rnacentral:misc_RNA from 1 species
CAAUUAACAUGGUUUUUUUUUUAAUUGUCACUGUUUGGUAUUUAUAAUUGUGAUUUAAGUAUACCUUCUCUGUUUAAAUUGAAGGGUUUGUGUCUACCAUACUUUUUGAUUUUUUUUUUGUGUAAUUUUAUUCAUUAAUCGUUAAUUCUGUUGAUGCCUGUUAAUUAAGUUUAUUAUGUAAAGUACACAAUUAAAUAAAUACAAUGCUUAUAAUAUGAGUUGGUUUAAACGAAAUAAAGGAAUUGAAAAAACUGACGAUCUUGAUUUGUCUGCAUGUUUUGAUAGUUUUAAUAAACAUUGGCAACAAACCUUUGAAAUAAUUGAUCGAUUUCAAACUGCAAAAGGCGUUAUUAAGAAUGAUGAUAUUGUAGCUGUUAUAAAUCAUUUAAAUCAAUUAAUAAAACUAUUGUUACUGGAUAUACAAUCAGCCAAAUCUACCAAUCAGUCAAGAUGUCUUGAAUACUUUUUGAAAAACCAAUUGCUUGGAAAAUUAUAUUCAUGGAGCUUAAAAACAGACAAAUUCAAAAAUUAUUUAAAAUUAGAACAACUUAAAGUUUAUGGAGUUCUUUUUUCGGAACUUCGAGGACAUCAAUUGUUUUCUGAUGAUUCUAUAUUAAAUCCUUUAAUAUUAAUAUUAAACUCAUAUGAUGGCGAUUGCUUAUCUGUAGAAAUUGAAAAACACUUGGUUACAGUUUUAAGACAAUUUUGUGUGGUUCUUUCUCAUCAACCAAAUAUAUUGUGCAACAUCUUAAAAGAAAACACUAAAAAUUCAAAAUGUGUUAUAUUGUCAUUAUUGAUGGCAUUUAUUCACCGCGAUGGAUCAAUUGGCGAAGAAGCUCGUGAUGCCUUAUUGAUAUUUGUAUCAUUAUCUCGUCAAAAUGAUACAUUAGCUAAUAUCAUAACAUCUAAAUCAAAUGUGAGUCCUGUAUUGGCAACUGGUUUAAGUGGUCUAUAUUCAGUGUUGCCUCGAAAAUUAGAUUUUGAAAAUGAUUGCUACAGACUCAGCCCAAAAAAUAUUGAAAAUGUACCAGAACUAAAUAAUUUUUUAGCUUCAGUAGAACUAUGUAAUGCUGUUGCUAAAAUUUGUCACAAAACUGUGUAUGAUCAACUUUUGGAUUACUUAUAUCAUGGAUUCCUUCUACCUGUUGUCGGGCCAGCACUAAUGCAGGACUUUGAAAAUAACUGCGGUAUCAAUACACAUUUAUCGCGGGUAGCAGAAGAAGAAGUAGCUACAGCAACAGUAUAUUUAGAUUUACUACUUCGUAGUGUCACUCAUCCAGGACUUCUGCAAACAUUUGUAAAAUUUGUGCUGUGUGAAAGAUUUGAAAAAAUAAAAAUUAUCGAAUUACUCAUCAAUCGAAUUAAUAACAAAUCUUUUAAGGUUUGUAUUGCCACACUUGCUUUGAUGGAAACAAUUUUAGACUUGAAUUGUGAAGAUGUUAUGUUGGAACUAGUAUUCAAGUAUUUAGUGCCUUGCACACACAUAAUGCUUAGUCAACGUUCACGUAUUAAACAAGUAGAUUCAUAUUGUAAAUCAGCUGACAUAUUUUUGUCCUUAAUACCGGAUGUCUUCAAAUAUAGAAAUGUUAAUUCUCAAACUUUAUACUCUGAAUACCGAGCUUACUUGAAUUGUGCACGAAUUAAGAUAGCCGAAUGUGCUAUGGAAACUAAACACUGGACAUAUUUAUAUGAUGGAGAAAAUCCAUCUCACGCAAUAGUUGAAACUAAAACAAAUGAAGUGGAAAAUGAUCAAAAUAGCAUAUUAUCAGCUGAUGAUAGUUCAAGUGGAUAUGAAAGUUUCAAAGCUGUGAAAGACAUUGACAAAAUGCUCGGAAAUGAUGAGAGUUGUAGACCUGCUGAUGAAAUUUUAUCAAUCACUUCUUCACCGUGUGGAAGUGAUUCACCUACAUGCUUUAUAAGACAGACAACAUUUAAGACAAAAGAAUCAUUUACGCAAUACCCUUGUUUGGGUCCAUUUCUCGAGGCGCUAUUUUCAAAUCUUGAAAAUUUCCCUGAACAAGAUUUUCGGAUAAAUCUACGUCUGACUGCCGUCAUGACCCGUCUGUCUAUGUACAACAAACCUUUAAUUCAAUCGUUGUUACUAAAUCAUUCUAUGAUCUUCCAGCCGUGCAUACGUUCUCUGUUUCAAAUAUUGCGUUCUUUAAAACAGACUAUAGAAACCAAAUUAAGUAGUCGUAUGGAAAAAGUUAUAGAAGCUGAAACAUUUUUAAUCGAACGAGAAAAUAAACUAUGCAAUACUCAAUGCAAUCGUUCUGUCAGUGAAAAGAUUCCUGAAGCAUUUUCUAGAGUUUUUAGGGGAAACCAAACGGCGUAGCAUAUCAGUAACUUUUGGAGCAAUGUUUAGAAGAAAUUCUGGUAACAAGGAAGCCAUAUUAGAAUCCACAAGUAAUGGUUACAGGUAUUAUAAAGAAAACGAAACUGAGUCCUUAGACUUGCCAAUAAAUGCAAUAAUUCUAGCAGAAUGGUUAAAGGAAUUGUCGGCCAUUUGUCAAGAACACACAAUUAGUUAGUUAGUGUACAUAAAUAUAGGUACAAUUUGAAUUAUAAUAUUAUUAAUAUUACUCAUAUUAUUAGUACAUAAAUAUAUUUUUUUUACUGUGAACUUUUAAAAAGUUUUUACCCUUUUGAAGUUGUUAAAUUGUUGACUCAAAUGUUUUGCUCAAACCUAUCGUUUUAAUUAAUAGAUCUGUGAAUUAUUUUUUACUCAUUUUUAUUGUUAGUUGAAACUUAAAUUAGAUUUUAUGAUAUAAUAAUAUCAUAUAAAAUAAAGAAAAAUAUUCCGUCCAUAUUUUGCAAUUAUGCGAGUAUUAAUAACUUAUGUCUCAUAUGUCCAUCACAACAGACUGCUGUACUUAAUAUUGACUUAAUAUUGGUGCAUUCAAAGUUGAUCUUCCGGUUGAAAUAAUCUAUUAUUAUAUAAUAUUUAAAGUUCUAAUAAAAGUCCCCAUGCUAUAAAUUCAAACUUGUAUUUUUAUCAGAAUUCAAAUUUAAUUACUAUAUUCCUUGAAAUGCACAAAAUAUGUUGUCUUCCACCAUAGUUAAGAGUAACUCAUAUAGAUCUUAUAGACAUUUAUUUAUUAAUUUUUCAUUAUUGUUAAACAUUUAAAACUUCAUUGUUCGCUUAAUUUAUUUUUAACAAAAAUAAAAUGUUUUUAAGUAUUUACAUUACAUGUUUAUUGAUAUCAAUGUAAUUCAUAGUACAAAACACGACUAUAUCUUUUACAAAAAAGUAUAAUGUGAUUAUAUUUUGUUUAAGGCUAAACCAUCUUAUGUCUUUUUUUUUAAAAGCAAAAAGUAUAAAAUUGUAUACUGAAUUAAUGAAUCCUAUGUGUUAAGUUUUGACUUCAGAGAUCUGACAAUGAUAUAUUUUUGUAAAAUGAUAUAUUUGUUAACACAACGUUAAUAAAGUACAUUUCUAUUGUAGCUUCCUAUCAGAUAAUAAUUUGUUAUUUUGUGUUUAUUGUUAGUUACCCACUCUAGCUAUGUUACAGUUGUUGAUAUUGUGUUGUUUUUACAUAGUUUGUCAAGUUAAUAUAUUUGAAAUACUCAGGACUAUUAUAUUAUUAUUUUCUUUGUUCUGUUCAUGUAAUACAAUUAUUAAAUAAUAGGUAACUUUGUUGU